AACGAACGCUGGCGGCAUGCCUAACACAUGCAAGUCGAACGAGACCUUCGGGUCUAGUGGCGCACGGGUGCGUAACGCGUGGGAACCUGCCCUUAGGUUCGGAAUAACUCCCCGAAAGGGGUGCUAAUACCGGAUAAUGUCUUCGGACCAAAGAUUUAUCGCCUUUGGAUGGGCCCGCGUUGGAUUAGCUAGUUGGUAGGGUAAAAGCCUACCAAGGCGACGAUCCAUAGCUGGUCUGAGAGGAGGAUCAGCCACACUGGGACUGAGACACGGCCCAGACUCCUACGGGAGGCAGCAGUGGGGAAUAUUGCGCAAGGGGCGAAAGCCUGACCCAGCAAGGCCGCGUGAGGGAUGAAGGUUUUAGGGUUGUAAACUUCUUUCCCCGGGGAGGAUAAUGACGGUCCCGGGAAAAGAAGCCCCGGCUAACUCCGUC
rnacentral:rRNA from 1 species